GCACCUAGAAAGGGAAGGACUUAUACCAUGAACGGACUCUUUGCCUUGGGUCAAUCAAUUCCUUGGCUUACUAAUGACCACUUCGAGAAGAACCUUUUUGAAAACAGUCUAAUGCCACAUCUUACUUAACAGCUCCUUCUUCCUUUUCUUCGUUCCUUCUGUAAAGGCAAGGGAAGCAGAAGACUCACAGGUAAUCUCAUACGUGAAGGGUUAAAAACCUCGUUUUCUAUAAGCAGACUUUGAGACUAUACGAACAAGAACUAGAUCACACCUAGUGCUUUUGGUCGUUUUAAAAAACGAAGGAGUAGGCCGAGGAACUCUACCUUACAAACUUGCCUGCCGAUGAAACCUUUGUACCGGGGUUCGAUCUGCUAUGGUGAGAUUGGGACUACCAACCUCUAUUCGGGAAGGAAGAGAGCAUUACGAAUUACCCUAUUUGAGAUACUGAAAAAAAGUUCUAGUACUUCCUCAGAGCGAUUGAACUAGCCUUUUGACUAAAUAGAUAUGAGCAUAGAGAGGGAAUCCUAAACUACAGGAAAGAAGGAGAGCUACUUGCCAGCAGAAGGAAAGGAAGAAGCCCGAGCUAAGCUUUAAACUAAAACUGNN
rnacentral:lncRNA from 1 species